GCACUUGAAUGAUGGGAGAAACAUGAAUGUGGUGACUCCAUGUCAAAUAUUGACAAAGCUUAGGAAGCAAGUCUCAAGCAUGGAUUACAACCUCUAAGUGUCCCAACUCAAUCAAAAUCCUAAACAUUUUAUCUUGUCAAAAGAGUUUUU